GAUAAUCCGGCACUGCUACGCAGUAAAAUCAAUUGCGCAAUAUGAUAUAGGUUGCCAUAUUGACAAAUGGGUUGAAUAUGGUAUAGUGUAUUUAUUGUGUAAGACAUGAUUGCGUUUCAUACAGAAAUGACAUAACGGAAGGGGGCGGGAGAUGGGUCAGAGAGUACGGGAGAAACCCGGGAAAAACGGGAGAGUUGGCAGGUAUGGUCUGCGUAUUAGAGCGUAUGGGAAAGUUAACGAAAAGUAACAGCCCCAUACACACAUAAUGAAAGGACUAAAGGAGACAUCAAUUAUUUUUCCCUGGACAGCCGUGAGUGUGACGACAAAGGAGAGGUCACUCCAGAGACUGUUCAGAAACCGAAACACCUCAACCAAAAACCUUUCACUUCCAGUCUCCAAAGUAUUUCAUGAGGAGAUGAUUGUUGAUGAUUUUCAUGUGUCACAUCAUGUGACGAGUGGGAAAUCCUCCACCAUAAAAACACUGCUAAUUAUAAUACUACAGUGUCGAUUUGUUGCUGCUACAGACCCCAACUGUCCGUAUAUCCCAAUCAUUAAGGAGUGGGCUAAUAGCAUCCCCAGAGAUUUUCGAUUAGAGAUUCCACUCGGCUGUGGUGAUAAGAUCAGCUGUGACGAUCUCCUACGGGCCCUUGUUAACAGCUACUGCAUGAACAGGAAUUGCAGUGAUGAUAAGCCCAAUACGUCUUGCAAUGAAACUAAUAAAAAAACAAAGACGUUGAUUUACUGCUUGAAUGAUAAUUAUUCUAUCUCCUGCCAGGAGCCCCUAGGGUUUCAAAACCCAAGGAUAUAUAUGUUAGUGAAUGAUACAGAUUUCACCCAUAACAUUCAAGGUUGUCUCAUGGACAAGGUGCCAGGUACAACAGCAUCCACCACCUGUACUAUGACCACCACCACCACGACAUCUCGUAGUGCACCAACAACAGUUACCCCCGGCAGUACACCCACCUCCUCCACCCCCACCACAUCUUCUAUCAUCACAGAUAGUACACAGUCCCCAACGCCUUCCCAUGCCUCUCACACCUCAGAACAAUUUAGUGCGACAUCUGGAUAUGGUAUGCUGGUCAUACUGUUGACAUCUCUGGGUUUAAACAUAACAUUGUCAUGGUUGUUACUGAAGCAGAGAAGCCGCCACCAACAGCAACCCAUAAACCUAAGUCUAGACUAUGUUGGAGCUCCUGGAGAAGCUGAAGCAGAGUCGUUAGCGGGUGAUUCCCUGCCCUAGAACUGGCUGCCUACUCCAGUGUUCUAGAGACAUCAGUAACAGUGUUCCAGAGACGGCAGAUGGAUUACAGAGGACGGGCCUGCUGUACUCCCAACACUGUCUCCAUGAGAGACUGCCAAUCCACCAGUCUGUGACUACAGAGACUGUUACUGUCAAACACCUGCAUCAGGACACCCUCAGACCGGUCUUUGGCUAUGGACUAGAGACCUCAACAGGAGAACCAACCUCAGUCACAACAUGAGCCCCACACCAUUCCACAGACAUUGACAGACCUGCAUGUGAAGCAUGUUCAGAUACUAUGGCACAUUAGGGCCCGUUUCACACUGCCUGCGUUGAGUGUGUGUGGUGGCUGCGUUACCUGUUGAUUUUCAUGUCAGUGCCCUUGCUAACAGGUUAGAACAUGCACAAUGCUUGACUGAGAUGUGCAGUCAUAUCGAGUCGAGUUUCAGUGUGGCGACUAUUUGUUACACGUGAGAUAAGAUAAUCUCAGUAAAAAAGACAUGUUGACAUUAUACCACCAACCAACAUUAUAACUGGCGUCUUUCAUUGCAGUUUCGAGGUAUGGGCUAUAUCGCACAGACAUGACAGAAAUAUAAAUGUCCCUCUCUCACUUAUCAUGCUUAUAAUAUAAUAUAAUAUAAGAGUAUAAUAUUCUCUAAUUAAUCAUGUCUGAAUUGUGUCUUGUUUCUUUCUGACUAACUAUUGAGUUUGACAUAGUUCAUGUUUACAAAUGAUAUGUUGCGGAGAAACUAGCAACGAUCCACAAACAGGCGUCGAGAGGCUGAAUGUGAAGUUUAUUUGUGUUAUCUAAACUUUUACGCAAUCAGAACUUGUUGUGUGUUUGGUAGCACUCCCAACUCCUGGGGGGUAUUCGUCGUAGCUCGCUAAGCGGUUUAGCGAGCUAAUUUUCAGGCUAAGAUAAAAAAAACGCCCCUCUUUUUGGUUCGUGGAAGCAACUUUUGAUAAAUCACCAUAGUUACAUAUCGAUUAGCACUAACCU
ensembl:lncRNA